rnacentral:rRNA from 1 species
GGGGAAUCUUCCGCAAUGGGCGCAAGCCUGACGGAGCAACGCCGCGUGAGUGAAGAAGGCCUUCGGGUUGUAAAACUCUGUCAUCAGGGAAGAAGAAAGUGACGGUACCUGAGGAGGAAGCCCCGGCUAACUACGUGCCAGCAGCCGCGGUAAAACGUAGGGGGCGAGCGUUGUCCGGAAUUACUGGGCGUAAAGGGCGCGUAGGCGGUUAUCCAAGUCAGGGGUGAAAACCUUGGGCUCAACUCAGGGCCUGCCUCUGAAACUGGGUAACUUGAGGGCAGGAGAGGGGAGUGGAAUUCCCAGUGUAGCGGUGAAAUGCGUAGAUAUUGGGAGGAACACCAGUGGCGAAGGCGGCUCUCUGGCCUAACCCUGACGCUGAGGCGCGAAAGCGUGGGGAUCAAAC